AGGAGUAUAGCUCAGCUGGUAGAGCGACGGUCUCCAAAACCGUAGGUCGUAGGUUCGAUCCCUACUGCUCCUGCCA
rnacentral:tRNA from 1 species